rnacentral:rRNA from 1 species
CUGAGGCUAAACCGCGAUAGACCAAGAUACCUGGAAUGGUUUUUGAUCAAAAUCUAUAUGGCCUUUGGAUUGGACUGCGACCGAUCAGGCUGUUGGUGAGGUAAUGGCCCACCAAACCUGUAACCGGUACGGGCUCUGAGAGGAGGAGCCCGGAGAUGGGUACUGAGAAAAGGACCCAGGUCCUAUGGGACGCAGCAGGCGCGAAACCUUCGCAAUAGGCGAAAGCCUGACGAGGUUAUUCCGAGUGUUUCCUGCUAAAGGAAUCUUUUGCCAGCUCUAAAAAUGCUGGUGAAUAAGGGGUGGGCAAGCCUGGUGUCAGCCGCCGCGGUAAUACCAGCACCCCGAGUGGUCGGGAUGAUUAUUUGGCCUAAAGCAUCCGUAGCCGGCGCAUCAAGUCUUCCGUUAAAUCCACCUGCUCAACAGAUGGGCUGCGGGAGAUACUGCUGCGCUAGGAGGCGGGAGAGGCGAGGGGUAUUCCAUGGGUAGGGGUAAAAUCCUCUGAUCCACGGAGGACCACCAGUGGCGAAGGCGUCUCGCCAGAACGCGCUCGACGGUGAGGGAUGAAAGCUGGGGGAGCAAACCGGAUUAGAUACCCGGGUAGUCCCAGCUGUAAACGAUGUAGGCUCGGUGAUGGACUGGAUUCGAUCCAGCCCAGUGCCGCAGGGAAGCCGUUAAGCCUACCGCCUGGGGAGUACGGUCGCAAGACUGAAACUUAAAGGAAUUGGCGGGGGAGCACCACAAGGGGUGAAGCCUGCGGUUCAAUUGGAUCAAACGCCGGAAAUCACUAGUGCGGCCGCCUGCAGGUCGACCAUAUGGGAGAGCUCCCAACGCGUUGGAUGCAUAGCUUGAGUAUUCUAUAGUGUCACCUAAAUAGCUU